rnacentral:rRNA from 1 species
CGUCGCAUUAGCUAGUUGGUGAGGUAACGGCUCACCAAGGCAACGAUGCGUAGCCGACCUGAGAGGGUGAUCGGCCACACUGGGACUGAGACACGGCCCAGACUCCUACGGGAGGCAGCAGUAGGGAAUCUUCCGCAAUGGACGAAAGUCUGACGGAGCAACGCCGCGUGAGUGAUGAAGGCUUUCGGGUCGUAAAACUCUGUUGUUAGGGAAGAACAAGUGCUAGUUGAAUAAGCUGGCACCUUGACGGUACCUAACCAGAAAGCCACGGCUAACUACGUGCCAGCAGCCGCGGUAAUACGUAGGUGGCAAGCGUUAUCCGGAAUUAUUGGGCGUAAAGCGCGCGCAGGUGGUUUCUUAAGUCUGAUGUGAAAGCCCACGGCUCAACCGUGGAGGGUCAUUGGAAACUGGGAGACUUGAGUGCAGAAGAGGAAAGUGGAAUUCCAUGUGUAGCGGUGAAAUGCGUAGAGAUAUGGAGGAACACCAGUGGCGAAGGCGACUUUCUGGUCUGUAACUGACACUGAGGCGCG